rnacentral:misc_RNA from 1 species
GUUUUCCUGCCUCCCAGUCCUUGGAAGAAUUCCCUUUCUGGAAAACUGGCCCUAAUGCUUCGUAUAGCUCAUAGCCAGCACAAAACCUGAAAGGAGUGUGCAUUGUGUCAUUACACUCAGUCCCAAAACCUAAAUUUGUCUCAGCACAUUUAUCUGCAUAUGCAUUGGGAAGAUCCGACAAACCCAACAUUCUGUUUCGAUCAUUGUAAGCUUCAGAAGCAAGAUUGUUUCUAUUUCGCUGAGGGCAUUCAGUGACUUGUCCAGCAUCAUAUGAAACACUUCCAAUACUUGUAUCACUUUUAAAAUUUGGCUCACUUUUAUCUACCGAGCCCUUCCCCAAGACUCUCAAGUUGCUAGUUUGCCCUU